rnacentral:rRNA from 1 species
UUGACCUCGGAUCAGGUAGGAAUACCCGCUGAACUUAAGCAUAUCAAUAAGCGGAGGAAAAGAAACCAACAGGGAUUGCCCUAGUAACGGCGAGUGAAGCGGCAACAGCUCAAAUUUGAAAUCUGGCCUCGGCCCGAGUUGUAAUUUGCAGAGGAUGUUUCUGGCGCGGUGCCUUCCGAGUUCCCUGGAACGGGACGCCACAGAGGGUGAGAGCCCCGUAUGGUUGGACACCAAGCCUGUGUGAAACUCCUUCGACGAGUCGAGUAGUUUGGGAAUGCUGCUCAAAAUGGGAGGUAAAUCUCUUCUAAAGCUAAAUACCGGCCAGAGACCGAUAGCGCACAAGUAGAGUGAUCGAAAGAUGAAAAGCACCUUGAAAAGGGGGUUAAACAGUACGUGAAAUUGUUGAAAGGGAAGCGCUUGUGACCAGACUUGCGCCGGGCGGUUCAUCCGGGGUUCUCCCCGGUGCACUCCGCCCGGGUCAGGCCAGCAUCGGUUCUCGUUGGGGGAUAAGAACGGCAGGAACGUGGCCCUCCCUCUGGGAGGGUGUUAUAGCCUGUCGUACGAUACCCUGAUGGGGACCGAGGUUCGCGCUCCGCAAGGAUGCUGGCGUAAUGGUCAUCAGCGACCCGUCUUGAAACACGGACCAAGGAGUCGUCCAUUAGAGCGAGCGUUUGGGUGUCAAACCCGCACGCGUAAUGAAAGUGAAAUUAGGUGAGAGCUUCGGCGCAUCAUCGACCGAUCCUGAUGUUCUCGGAUGGAUUUGAGUAAGAGUUUUAACGGACGGACCCGAAAGACAGUGAACUAUGCUUGUAUAGGGUGAAGCCAGAGGAAACUCUGGUGGAGGCUCGCAGCGGUUCUGACGUGCAAAUCGAUCGUCAAAUAUGAGCAUGGGGGCGAAAGACUAAUCGAAC